rnacentral:rRNA from 1 species
CUUUCUAAGGAAGCUGUGGAAUUGGAAGACGGCAUCUUCGGAUGCAUGACCUUUCCCGUGCUUUUUAGAACAUAGAUGGCACCAGUCAGGUGACC